rnacentral:rRNA from 1 species
AUUGAACGCUGGCGGCAGGCUUAACACUUGCAAGUCGAGCGGGGUGAUGGUGCUUGCACUAUCACUUAGCGGCGGACGGGUGAGUAAUGCUUAGGAAUCUGCCUAUUAGUGGGGGACAACACCUCGAAAGGGAUGCUAAUACCGCAUACGUCCUACGGGAGAAAGCAGGGGAUCACUUGUGACCUUGCGCUAAUAGAUGAGCCUAAGUCGGAUUAGCUAGUUGGUGGGGUAAAGGCCUACCAAGGCGACGAUCUGUAGCGGGUCUGAGAGGAUGAUCCGCCACACUGGGACUGAGACACGGCCCAGACUCCUACGGGAGGCAGCAGUGGGGAAUAUUGGACAAUGGGGGGAACCCUGAUCCAGCCAUGCCGCGUGUGUGAAGAAGGCCUUAUGGUUGUAAAGCACUUUAAGCGAGGAGGAGGCUCUUUUGGUUAAUACCCAAGAUGAGUGGACGUUACUCGCAGAAUAAGCACCGGCUAACUCUGUGACAGCCGCCGCCGUAA